rnacentral:rRNA from 1 species
AGUAGGUAGUUUAACCUUCGGGAGGACGCUUACCACUUUGUGGUUCAUGACUGGGGUGAAGUCGUAACAAGGUAGCGCUAGGGGAACCUGGCGCUGGAUCACCUCCUUAUACGAUGAU